GAGAGUGUAGCUCAAGUGGUAGAGCGCAUGCUUAGCAUGCACGAGGUCCUGGGUUCAAUCCCCAGUACCUCCU
rnacentral:tRNA from 1 species